GGAGGCUGCAGUAAGCUGAGAUUACAUCACUGCACUCCAGCCUGGUCAACAGAGCGAGUCUCCAUCUUAAAAAUAAAUAAAUAAAUAAAUAAAUGAAAAAGAGGAUUCUGAAGACAAGAGCCAGUGGUCAGUGAGGUCAGGAGGACAAAAACCCCAGCCCGAGGCGCACUGGGGAGGAGGUUGUGGGCACUACCACAGCUCAGAGGGGCCAUCGCUGCCACCCAGACGACGGUCAAUGGAGGGACUUGGCUCCCUCAAGGCCCAGCCAGGGUCCCGGGCACGAGAGACAGCAGGUGGGAUUCAGGCCGCUCCAUCCAAUCACCUGUCUGUAGAACCUUGUAACAUGAUGAUGGCACUUUCAUUUCCCGACACUGGGCCGAAUCUGGGUUCUCUAAAACUGAGAAUGACAGUGAUUUAAAAGCAAAUAUCCAAGACUGGAGAGUCUGACCGCUCCUGAAAUGCUGGCUGGUGACGGUCAAGCUGCUGCAUCCACUCAGCCUCUCCUGUCAGCUGUAGCCAGUGACUCGGAACUGCCUGCCGGCCUUUCUGCACUCCCCCCCCGCACCCCGCACUUCCCAGCGGCCAGAGUGCUCUGGGACAGAGCACAGGUAAGUGGUGGGGCCAGGGCUUUGGAGGGAUGCGAGCAUGCACCUACUGUCUCCCCUGCCGCAGGGACAGAAAGCUGCAGACUGGACAGUGGGACGUGCAUGGUCCUUUCCUGGGGGCUGGCCCUUUGUGGGUCCCUGCGCCCCAUUCCUGAAGAAGUCGUGCUGGGAGUCAUUUAUCAACAGUUCCUGACUUGCCCUGCCCUGGCACUGUCCCCACGGAGCUGCCUGUCGCUGGGACUGACUAUAGAUGAAUGAAUGAAACCACCAACUACAUGAGCAAUCACAAUUGCGAUGGAGACCUCAGAACAGCAGCACAGCAGGACAGGGGGUACACAAAGGGAGCCGGUGCCUGUGAGCCGGUCAGGCCACCAGGAAGGCUCUGCGGGAGGGAGGUGGCUCUUCAACGGACACCUGCAGGAUGAGCAGGAAGGGACGGAGGGUGGAGUGGCCUGCAGCGAGGAGGAGAAUGGGCCAUUUGAGGAGCAGUGGGGCCUGGAGAGCCUCGGGGAGAGUGAGACACCAAGAAGGGAAAGAGGCAGAGCAGGGCCAGACGGCAGGGCCUGUAGGCACUGUGGGGGCUGCGGGGCAGCCAAGUCCCCUUCUAGCCUUCCAGAUGGAAAGGCAUCUAGGCAAGGCCGAGAAAGCCAAC